CUCAGGGAGGUAGUGACAAGAAAUAACAACACUGGAAAUUUUAUUUCUAGUGAUUGGAAUGAUGGGAAUUUAAACCCCUUUCAGAGUAACAAUUGGAGGGCAAGUCUGGUGCCAGCAGCCGCGGUAAUUCCAGCUCCAAUAGCGUAUAUUAAAGUUGUUGCAGUUAAAAAGCUCGUAGUUGGAUGUCUGCUGGAAGCAAUCAGUCCGCCCUAUUUGUAGGGUGUGCACUUGAUGAAUUCUGGCAUCUAUGUCCCAAUGUGAUAUACGCGAUGGUGUUAUUAAUAUAUAGGUUAAUCCUGUAUAUUAUAUACCCAUUUGUGUAAUAUUGGGAUAAUACCGUUACUUUGAGAAAAUUAGAGUGUUUGAAGCAGGCUAAUUGCCUUGAAUACUGCAGCAUGGAAUAACAAUAUAGGAUUUCGGUUCUAUUUUGUUGGUUUCUAGGACCGAAAUAAUGAUUAAUAGGGACAGUUGGGGGCAUUCGUAUUUAACUGUCAGAGGUGAAAUUCUUAGAUUUGUUAAAGACGAACUACUGCGAAAGCAUUUGCCAAAGAUGUUUUCAUUAAUCAAGAACGAAAGUUAGGGGCUCGAAGACGAUCAGAUACCGUCGUAGUCUUAACCAUAAACUACGCCGACUAGAGAUAGGAAACUGUCAUUUUUCUGACUU
rnacentral:rRNA from 1 species